CAGUUUUAUGUUCAGUUUUGUCCCCGUGUUCCCUCUGUCCCGGUAUACUCAGGCGUAUCUAUUUUGCCAAUUAUGUUGUCAUGGCGUCGCGUCGCGUCGUGAUAAGUAACACUAAAAUGUAAAUUAUACGAAAUACAAAAUGUAAAACACAAAGAGCAAACCACGUACGUAACCACGAAAAGUAAAACAAAAAUAUUUUACAUUCACUGGCAUUAAGUAAACAAAAGCGUAAUAAAAUUCAUAAAGGUCAAAAUUCUAAUAAGUGGAUUCCUUUGUUUGUUUUUACGCCGUCGCGAACGCAUGGCUCCUGCAGAUAGAAACGUAAAAUAAUUUUAAAGGCUCGUUUAAAUUGUGUUAUGUGUAGUUAGUAUUGCAACGUAGUUCAGAGGAGCGUGUCCCGUGCGACGAGUACUGCGCAACAAGUGAAUAAAAUCGGAGACGAUUAUAUCUCGAGAGGCAGUUGUACGAUUGACCGCCAAUUGACAUGGGUGCCGCAGCGAGGAACCCACGGCCACAUGUAAUCACGAGGUGGAUCGGUUUACCUCAGCCAGCUGUCGGAGUCCCGGCUGUCGCUGAAAGAGAACCUGUGCCGCGGCACGUUGCGCGUGCUGGCAGCCCUGGGCGUGGGCGACGCGCACCUCCGCGGCCUCGUUCUCUACCAUCUGCACGCUGCACUAGCAGAACGCGCCAGGCGCUAUCCAGAUCUUUACGAGGAGCUGAAAUCUGAGAUAGAGAAUUGUAUAGAACAAGCGUAUCACAUUCUCCAAGGUGACAUAUCUGCGCCACCGGAUUUGGAACUCAGACACCGAUACCUUGGCCCCGGCUGUGAUAAACCUCAAGAAGAAAAGUUC
rnacentral:misc_RNA from 1 species